rnacentral:rRNA from 1 species
GACGAACGCUGGCGGCGUGCUUAACACAUGCAAGUCGAACGGGCCUUGUCCCCUUUUUUUUUGGGGGGGGGGGUAGUGGCGAACGGGUGAGUAACAAGUGAGUAACCUGCCCCUCACUUCUGGAUAAACGCUUGAAAGGGGGGCUAAUACGGGGGGGUCUGGCCUGCUCGGAUGGGGUGGGUUGGGAAAGUUCGGCCGGGUUUUGUUGGUUUGGGGGGGGGUGGGGUCGCGGCCUAUCAGCUUGGUGGUGGGGGGAUGGCCUGCCAAGGCUUUGACGGGUAGCCGGCCUGAGAGGGUGGGCGGUCACACUGGGACUGAGACACGGCCCAGACUCCUACGGGAGGCAGCAGUGGGGAAUAUUGCACAAUGGGCGCAAGCCUGAUGCAGCGACGCCGCGUGAGGGAUGGAGGCCUUCGGGUUGUGAACCUCUUUCGCCAGUGAAGAAGGUCCUGCUCUUUGUGGUGGGGUUGACGGUAGCUGGGUUAAUGAAGCGCCGGCUAACUACGUG